GAUGAACGCUGGCGGCGUGCCUAAUACAUGCAAGUCGAGCGAACGGACGAGAAGCUUUCUUCUCUGAUGUUAGCGUCGGACGGGUGAGUAACACGUGGAUAACCUACCUAUAAGACUGGGAUAACUUCGGGAAACCGUAGCUAAUACCGGAUAAUAUUUUGAACCGCAUGGUUCAAAAGUAAAAGACGGUCUUGCUGUCACUUAUAGAUGGAUCCGCGCUGCAUUAGCUAGUUGGUAAGGUAACGGCUUACCAAGGCAACGAUGCAUAGCCGACCUGAGAGGGUGAUCGGCCACACUGGAACUGAGACACGGUCCAGACUCCUACGGGAGGCAGCAGUAGGGAAUCUUCCGCAAUGGGCGAAAGCCUGACGGAGCAACGCCGCGUGAAUGAUGAAGGUCUUAGGAUCGUAAAACACUGUUAUUAGGGAAGAAAAGAUAUGUAAGUAAAAGUGCAAAUCUUGACGGUACCUAAAGAGAAAGCCACGGCUAACUACGUG
rnacentral:rRNA from 1 species